GACGAACGCUGGCGGCGUGCUUAACACAUGCAAGUCGAACGGAAAGGCCCUGCUUUUGUGGGGUGCUCGAGCGGCGAACGGGUGAGUAACACGUGAGUAACCUGCCCUUGACUUUGGGAUAACUUCAGGAAACUGGGGCUAAUACCGGAUAGGAGCUCCUGCUGCACGGUGGGGGUUGGAAAGUUUCGGCGGUUGGGGAUGGACUCGCGGCUUAUCAGCUUGUUGGUGGGGUAGUGGCUUACCAAGGCUUUGACGGGUAGCCGGCCUGAGAGGGUGACCGGCCACAUUGGGACUGAGAUACGGCCCAGACUCCUACGGGAGGCAGCAGUGGGGAAUAUUGCACAAUGGGCGGAAGCCUGAUGCAGCAACGCCGCGUGCGGGAUGACGGCCUUCGGGUUGUAAACCGCUUUCGCCUGUGACGAAGCGUGAGUGACGGUAAUGGGUAAAGAAGCACCGGCUAACUACGUG
rnacentral:rRNA from 1 species